UCCCUGGUGGCUCAGACGGUAAAAGCGUCUGCUUUCAAUGCGGGAGAUCCAGGUUCCAGCCCUGGGUUGGGAA
rnacentral:tRNA from 1 species